rnacentral:rRNA from 1 species
GACGAACGCUGGCGGCGUGCUUAACACAUGCAAGUCGAACGGAAAGGCCCUGCUUUUGUGUGGUGCUCGAGUGGCGAACGGGUGAGUAACACGUGAGUAACCUGCCCUUGACUUUGGGAUAACUUCAGGAAACUGGGGCUAAUACCUGAUAGGAGCUCCUGCUGCAUGGUGGGGGUUGGAAAGUUUCGGCGGUUGGGGAUGGACUCGCGGCUUAUCAGCUUGUUGGUGGGGUAGUGGCUUACCAAGGCUUUGACGGGUAGCCGGCCUGAGAGGGUGACCGGCCACAUUGGGACUGAGAUACGGCACAGACUCCUACGGGAGGCAGCAGUGGGGAAGAUUGCACAAUGGGCGGAAGCCUGAUGCAGCAACGCCGCGUGCGGGAUGACGGCCUUCGGGUUGUAAACCGCUUUCGCCUGUGACGAAGCGUGAGUGACGGUAAUGGGUAAAGAAGCACCGGCUAACUACGUG